CGCGCGCAUGAUUUCAAAUUAGUUGGACAUAUUACAGUAAUGGUCGAUCGGUCGGUCGGUUGCGGACGUGUGGCUUACGCGGAUACGCGGGAAAAACACGAGAAUCGUCGGAAUAUGCACGACGCAAGCGAAAGAAGAGGUCCUCUGAACUUGGAACGACGAUGGAUUGCCUUCGCGUAUGUUCGUGCAGCGACGAAUGACACGUUGAAUCAAGAGCAAAUCCGAGUAUGCCCGACGAGCAUUCAAAAAAAUGAUCUUGUGGUUAGCAAAAAUUAUCUAGACACGAGAAAUUUCUAUCUGAACUGUUUAUGAAAUUUAGCGAGAAGAUCUCUCCGUGACGCUCAUCCAGAUUAGGGCCAAGCACACUUCUUAUACUGCUAGAAUGCUGCUGGACCAGCAAAACAUUUUUUUGAGUCGAGCAAGCGAGAAAGAAGCACGUAGCCCGAGGGUGUCGAUCGACGGGUGUUUUCCGAUCUCUAAAGCGCGCUAACAAGGAACUUUGAUACUGCGUGGAUCAGUCUUACGAUUCGCAUCGCAUUGCGCGACACCGACGCAGAUCGUCGACGAGGGGCUUGUUUCCUCUCGACGAAAAACUGCAACAAAUCAUCGCCACCGGUGUCGCCGACACGGUCACGUUCCUAGAAUUCCUCACGACGCUUCUGCCACGACCUCGUCUGCGUGCCGGCCGUCCCGAGACUUUAAUUUUGGAUUAGAAGCGCGAGAGGAUAAAGCGCGGGAAUGAAACGCUCAGCUCGGAAAGAUUACGAAAGAAAGAGAAUCUCUUUCGAUUGCGGGUCUUAUUUUGCGCUCUCGCGCGAAACCCGAGGCGAGGAGGUUAUUCUCCCUCUCGCUCGAUUAUAUUUGCGCCUCUGUGUUGCAAAUAAUAUCGCCGGAUCUUACGUAAAGUUUUUCAGUUUAUGACACAUCGCGUUGGAAACGCGCACCGCGAGAAAUUCGCACGACGAUGACGAAUCGACGUCGCUGCUGCCCAACGACUCGAGACUCAAAGUUUAUUUUUUACGCGCAAUUGAGAUACAAAAGUAGUCGGUCUCUCUACUGCUAAAUUAACGACACGUGAAUAUAAUGCGCAUAAAUUAUGCGUCGCAUUAAUAAUACCGUCCCAAGUAGAAAAUCCCUUGGGAUUUAUUUGGCUUUCAAUCCGACUCCCUCAAAUUAAUUAUGCGGGUUUUCUCUAUAGUGUCUUCAGAAAUGUCAACACGCAACUCCAAGUGGGAAAACGUAAAGCUUCCUCAAUAUUUUUUCCCUAAUCCUCAUUAUAUACAUUAAGAUUGAAUAAAACAUAUUGCCUCUCAAAAGUAAUUCCAUCAUUCAAUAAAACACUCAAAGUGUUUAGAAAAUACAUAUUUUUAAUAAUUUUUAUUAUUUUUUAAGUAUUAUUUUUAAGUAUAAAUAUAACAUAAAAAUGGAAUUUUCAGUUUAAUAUCAUCAAAGCAAUAAAAGUAUGCCAACGUUAACGGCUGAAAAAAAGCGCAAAUUCCCAUAGUAUUUCUGUCUCGACUCUAGAUAGAGAGCCAUGCUUGGGACAAGGAUUCUCCCAAUUGGUCUCGUAAUAACAAAUGCUGGGAUUUGAGUAUUCCAAUCGGCAUUUAUGCUAUAUCUGGCGGAAUCUAAGGAAAUUUCUAUGCAGGGUGAUUUGCGUGUCGCGUGACUAUUGGCGCGGGCGCGCGCCAUGCAAUUUUACGUAUCAUAAUGACGACUUCCUCGGUGCCGAUGUACAAGAUACAGGCGGUCAAUACGCCGUAAUGAAAUAUCGACAUUUUGCAUCGACAUUUUUCGCAAACGCUAAUAACGGCGCUGUACCUUUGCGCGGCACAGUCGUCGAUAACACUCGGUGUCGGAGAAAGGAUGAGGAUAAUUACAGACGUCUAAUUGCCGUCGCUCGCGGCGACCCGCGGAGGACGCGUCGACGGCGAGUCCGCACGAUCGUCGAAAUUACAGAAAGAAACGAUAAAGCGGCCGUGUUAUUACAUUUUCCGCGUGGCUGUAGAUACGAUGUGCGCGCGAAAUGUCUCGAAUUACGUCGCGGCCAGUCGUAAUCGGGACUCGCUAUCGCGGCUUGUCCGUGAUUUCAGAAUGGUUCUCCGGAAUUACUGCUUCCGGCCGUCCGACAGUUGUCGAAUGUAACGCGAGCAGCUUUCGAAGGAGGAGAUAAAAACAAAACUAGGGAGAUAGAAACAUAGAGAGAAAUUCGUAAGAGCAGAGGAACGCGUUCGGAAGCUGAAGAGGAUUAGGCAGCGCGGUGUCGAAAUAGUCACGACAAACGUGACAUAAUCGGUGUCUGGAACUAGUCGUCUCGUCGUCGUCGUUGUCAAAAAAAGUCCUCUGUCAGAAACAAAUUAUCAGAACAAGAGCACGUUUGCUGUUUAACUAUCGUCAAUGAAACAAAUCGAACAGUAAAGCUCGAUCUACAAUGUGUUAUUUGCUUCUUGUUUCUUUUUCUUUAUCUUUUUCUGACUCACACCUUAUCUAUAAUGUGUUAUUUGCCUCCUGUUAUUUUUUUCUUUAUCUCUUUCUGAUUCAAACCUUAAAUUAAAAAAAGACAGAAAACAAGAAACAGGAAGCAAAGAACACAUUGUAGAUCAGGCUUUAAGCCUUACACUAAAACAAGACAGAAAACAAGAAACAGAAAACAAAGAACACAUUGUAGAUUAAACUUAAGGACUAUCGUACACAAAAUAGCUGCAUGUGCAUAACAUAAGAUCAUCUCAAGCAAUGAGCAUGUUCUGCAAAUCAAUAUGGCAACUUUUUCUUAAAUGUUCAUUGGUCAAGGCUACGACCUAAGGGCCAUCGCACACAAAAUGACAGUUGCAUAUGUAUAGCAUAAUUUAGAGAAAAGUUGUCAUAUUGAUUUCUAAAACAUGCUCAUUGAUUGAGACAGUCUUGUGUUUAUCUGGCUUAUCCUCGCAAAUAAUUUCAUAUCACUUGUCACUUUAGCAAACAUAUAUUGUCUGAGACACAAAUCAUAUUUGUCUUCGUCUAUUUAGAUUGAAUUUUAGGCUAGAUUAGUUAUAUCUUCAUUACAAAAUGCUGUUACAUAAAACAGCAAAUUGAAAGUAACAAACCAUUUAUUCCCUCUAUGUUGAGAAGAAAAAUAUCUAAGAAAUAGUGAAUAUUUAUUCAGUGAGUAUAUCAUAACAGCAUAUUUACUUAUAUUCAUAUAAAAUUUUUCAAAUAAGAAAAUACACAUUUCCUGAACAUCUUAAGCAAAAUCUUAAUUUUUAUCAUAAAAUACUAUUACUUAUUCCAUUUAAAUAAAAGAAUUUAGAUUUAAGCAAAUGUGCUACUAAUGCCCAUAAAUAUUUCGCAAUUUUUAGGUAUUUUUCUCUCAAUGUACGAUGUGUCAUUUACUGUUCCGUCUCGACCAAUCAUUUGUCGCGGGUACUGGCAUUUUGUUAAAUUAGCGAAACUUUUUCCUCUCUCUCGGUGCGCGAUUCGCCGCCGGCAGAUUUCUUGCUCGUCAUACCGGAUUUCCAGACAGCCAGCCGCGAUGUCAAGAUCGGAGACGGCGAAGAGACGAAGACGACGGCCACUUACAAUCUGCCGAGCCGAUCGGCGGCCCGGAUGUUCCGUUAUCCGGCGACGUGGUCCGAGUGUCUCGGCGUUUCUUUCGCCGAUAUUACUAUGCGAUAUUGCCGGUGCGGCGCUGUGUACCGCGCGGACCGCCGCGGAGAUAAGAUCUCGUCUCGCGGGAGGCUUUCGUCCGACGCCAGCUGACUCGUGCGAGAAUCGCGAAUCGAAUCCGGCGACGACCGGCUGGAAAUCGCCGCCGCGUACGCGCCAAAUACGGAACUGGGUUAGCAGCCGCAUCGCGUCUCUCUCUCUCUCUCUCUCUCUCUCUCUCUCUCUCUC